CCAGCUCGCAUGCAAUGGAAUUUAGGAGCCAUCUCCUAUUUCUGGAGAAGUGUGAAUGAGAUCUGUAAGAUGGUUCCAUUAUGUUUAUAAAACAUUAUAGUUGGGAGCAGUAUAACGCACAUAUAUAGGUAGACAAGACAGGCCAUCCCUGAUUGCCAGAGGACCAAUUACCCUGGUUAGAAGCACCUGGACUGUGCUCACCUGUGUUUCCUACAAAGGCUGUUUCUUAAUGCCAAACCAUUGCAACUAGAGGAUGAGGUCGGGAGGAGGAGAGAUGGAGAGAGAACAAUGAGGCGCUCUCAUUUAAAGACUGGUGUUAUUUAUUCUACAUUCUUUAAAAAAGGGGUCCAAAAGGGUUCUUCGUCUAUCUCCAUAAGAGAACCCUUUUUGGUCCAGGUAAAACCCUUUGUCACGUCCUGACCAGUAAAUGUCAGGGAUUUCUUCGUCGUCAGACGAUAUGGCGAAAUCAUCGUCGGAAAAUGAGGACCAAUAUGCAGCAGAGUUGAGAUAGUUCAUUUUUGAACAUUUAAUAAACUCAAAAAACAAACAUACAAAAAUAACAAACCGAACUCACGAUUUACCGACAGUCCUGUUAGGCUCACUCACGCUAAACAAGAAACAAUCUCCCACAAACACACAGACAAACACACCCAACUAAUAUAGGACUUCCAAUCAAAGGCAACACCACACAGCUGCCUUCAAUUGGAAGUCCACCCCAAUUAACUCUACAUAGAAACAGACUACCUAGACUAAACAUAGAAUUACAUAAACAUAGAUCAUAAACCUAAAACCCGGAAAUACUAAAUCAAACGCCCUUUUACCAAAACACCACCCCGAACCACAUAAAACAAAUACCCUCUGCCACGUCCUGACCAAACUACAAUAACAAUUAACCCUUAUACUGGCCAGGACGUGACAGUAAAGGUGGUCAUUUGUCAUUGUAGUAUGGUCAGGGCGUGGCAAGGGGUGUUUGUUUUGUGUGUUUAUAAUUUUUUUGGUUCUAGGGGAUUUUGGUUCUAGUUUUCUAUUUCUUUGUUUCAUUUUCCACGUUUGGCCGAGUAUGGUUUCCAAUCAGAGGCAGGUGUGUUUCAUUGUCUCUGAUUGGAAGCCAUACUUAGGCAGCCUGUUUUCCUUUGGGUUUUGUGGGUGGUUGUUUCCUAUAUAGUCUGAGAACCUUACGGAACUGUUGAUUGUCGGUAUAUUAAUUUUGUUUAAGUGUUCACUUUAUUACGAUAAUAAAAGAAGAUGAGCACUAUACCCGCUGCGCUUUGGUCCCCUUUCAUCAACGCUUGUGGCAGAACCACCCACUAAAAGAAGCCAAGCAGCGGGGUAAGGAGCAGGAGAGGAGGUAUCUCGAGUCAUGGACGUGGGAGGAGAUCCUCGAUGGAAAGGGUCCAUGGAGCCAGGCUGGGGAGUACCAGCACCCGAAGGAGGAGCUGGAGGAAGCGAAGAGGGAACGACGGAGGUACGAGGUGAAGAGGCAGCCCCAAAACAAUGUUUGGGGGGGGG
rnacentral:lncRNA from 1 species